rnacentral:rRNA from 1 species
GUUUCAGCAGCCGCGGUAAGACGUAGGUGGCGAACGUUAUCCGGAAUUAUUGGGCGUAAAGGGUGCGUAGGUGGCCUGACAAGUUAUCAGUGGCAAAUCGAGGCUCAAUCUCGUGGAAACUGGUAAUACUGUCCGGCUUGAGUACAGGAGAGGUUAACGGAACUCUAUGUGGAGCGGUAAAAUGCACAGAUAUAUAGAAGAACAUCAAUAAAGGCGAAGGCAGUUAACUAUUCUGUUACUGACGCUGAGGCACGAAAGCGUGGGGAGCAAAACGGAUUAGAUACCCCUGUAGUCC